UCCGGGCAAGGGAGGCGGCGAUGCGCGGCGGCCCAGGCCGGGAGCGCGCGGUGCGCGGGGCCGGGUUCGGAGCCCGGCGCUGUCCGAGGUGCUGGACGCCGGCGGCGCGCGCUCCGGCCGCCGCGGUCCCCGGGCAUCUUCCCGAAGACCGAGCGCGGCGUCAGGGACAACCCGCGCGCCUCCCACUCCUGCCUCGGCUAAACGCGUGGACUUACUUCUUGGGAGCUCAAGAUCCCUCCCACCGGGUGGACCAGGGCAGACCCCUGCAGUGCGCUUACCUGGUGAGGACGCUCACCAAACGAGGCCACCUGAGUGCGGGCCACCGGUAGGGUCAUGGCUCCAAAAGCAAGGUCCGGGGGUGCCUGGCACUCCCGCCCUCCGCUUCGGGCUGGCUACCAAGGGGGCACUUCCAGGCUGAACCGCGCCCGAGCGCUGGGAUUAGCCCGGGCCUCGCCGGUCCAGUUGAGUGACUUGCCCAGAACUUCGUCAAGGUUCAUAAAUAAGACCCCUGCGUCAGUGGCUUCUGAGCACCCCCUUGCUCCUCCAAGUUCAAGUGAGAACAAGGGAGUUCUUCUUUAAGGGAAGGAAGCGUGGAAGAUGAGAACUGCGCCCAGUUCUCUCCUGCAGGUCUCCUGCGCUCCGUCCCGGCCCCGCGGCUGGCUGGCGAGCGCCGUUGCCCGCCCGCGCCCGGAGCGCGUCUCCAGCCGCGACGCCGGCGGGCUGUGUGGGUGACUCCUGCUUGCUGGGUACCCGCAAAGCUCAAGGCUUCAGUCCGCAAAGAAAGUGCCGCCCCCGCCCCAGGCUGGGACCUCCCACCUCCAGCCCAGGAGGAGCCCCGCCUUUCCCAACCACAGUCCUGCGGGACGGACUGCCAAGGUAAACACGCACACGCACGUUCCAUUUUUCCUUAGAAAAAGGUCGCACCGCUUGGGUCGGUUUUAAUCAUUUACGUUUUCCUAGAAAAUUGUCCAUCUCAUUUACAAUUUCAAAUUCACAGGCACAGAGUUACUAUUCGCUUUACCUUAUAAUUUUCAACGCCUCUGAAUCUCUUCAAGGUCCCCUUUUCAUCCCUGACUUUGCUGCGCGGCCCCCCCCCCAUUAUUUUGGUGUUUAUGGGUGCCCUUACUUUGUUGUGGUUGAGUUAUAUGAUCUACAAUUUCCGUUCUGUGGCCUAGUCAAUGACUAAUUUAAAUGCAGAAACCAUUUUUCCUCACACUCAGUGGAAGAAAAAAAAUGAGCAUUCUGUGUUUUUGCAUACAAACAUAAAAAUACACUGUGAAUUUUGCAGAAUUACCCUCCACAUCUUUACUAGUCUAUGUUGGUUUGGAGCAGAGUCUGAAGUCAGACUGCAUGGAUUUAUUCUUUUUUAAGAUUUUAUUUAUUUAUUUGAGAAACUGAGAGGGAGAGAGAGAGCACAAGCAGGGGGGAGCAGCAGGGGAGCCGAGAAGCAGAGGGCCCCGGGAUCACGGCCUGAGCCAAAGGCAGGCUCUGAACCGACUGAGCCCCCCUGCUGCCCCAGACUACGUGGAUUUGAAUCCCAGCUCAACCAUUUACCAGCUGUGGAUCACUGGUGAGUCACUAACUGGUCUGUGCCUCAGCUUCCCUCUCCAUAAAAUCUGUUAACGCCAGUGUCUGCUGCACGCGGCAGCUACAUUUACGCUGAGCCCCGUGUACCUGCAAGCUGUUCCACCGCUCUGUUGCGUGUCAACCAGGAUCCACGUCAUGGGACCAGAGACGCGCACAGCUGAGUUAACACAUGGGCAGUAUUUAGCGUGGUGUAUGGUGAGGACUAAACAUUAUACAUGUCUUCGCUCUGUCACCCGACCUGUUAAUAUUCACAGUAAACUGUUGAAGUGUUUCAGGACGUUUGGAUUCAUUUAUUCAAGAAAAACGUAUUGGGUUUGGGCUAUGUGACCAGAUCUGCGUUUUUCUGACUGCGCUAAUCAGCUGUGAACAGGGGAGACCAGUUCUCUGCUUUAUUGGAGAGACCUUCUCAAAAUCCGGACCUGUCAGCAUCUCUUGGGGGUAUUUUAACGUGUGUGUAGGAGCCAGUGUUCUGCUGUUCCACGACCCCAUUUCACGCAGGAGAACACGAGGUAAAUGUGUUGCACCCUCUUCCAAACCCACCUUCUGGCGGAAUCUCCGUCACUUCCCCGGAGUUGCACCCUAUAUGCCCGACCCACUUGGUUCAUAACGAUAAUCAUAAUUUUCAAAAAUAAUCAUCGCUGAUAGUAGCAAUUAACAGCUUCGAAUCGCUGCUGUCGUCAGUACCUUCCCGCCAGAGAGGUCUAGGGACACACAUGCAGCUGGACAAGUGGGAUCUACUACUUGUCACGGCUGGGGAGGAAGUGCACCGUGGGAAAUGCCGGGCCUCUCGCAAGCAGGUGUCAGAGAGAAUGUGUUACAGAAUUAAGACUUCAGCUGGGAGUUUGGGGAGAGGGUUCGGUCCACUCUGAGCAGAGGAGAAUCAUGCCGGAUGGUAUUCUAACAUCACAAGGACAGUUAUGAAGUGACCUCUGGUUCCCUCUUCUCACGCACUCUGAUUUUAGAGAUAAUUGACGUAGAACGUAUUUGUUUCCGGCGUACAACGUAGCGAUUUGAUAUUCGUGCAUCCUCAUUGCAGAACGCCUGCCACAGUAAGUCUGGUUCACCCACCACCGUACACGGUUAGUUUGUUUUCCUGUGAUGACAACUUUUAAGAUGAGCGACUUCCAGACAUCCAACAGAGAACCUAUUCUCAAUCGUAGUCCCCAUGCGAUACAUUACGACUCCAUGACUUAUGUAUCUUAUCACGGGGAGUUUGUACUGUGUGUGCCCUUCCCCCAUUUUGCCCGCCUCUCCCUCCCACCUCUGGUGGUCAGCAGUCUCAGUGCGCAUUCUCUCCUCAGCCAGGAGGGGAUAGUGUCUGUCUCCCACUCCUGAGCACUUUCCCUGCACAGACCAUAUUUCCAGUCAGUCACUGUCUAGAGGGAAGACAGACUCAGCGGUCACUACCGAACCGCUGAGUUAGAGCUCUUAGCAAGGGGCCGGAAGUCAUCGGCCGCAUGGUCUCUACACGGACUGGGAGGCUACGUUCAGGAACCACGGGGGGCUCUCCCAAGAUCGCGUAGCAAUCCAUCCCACGGCUGCCAGGCCUCUCGGGGUCAGCAUUGUGAGAUUCGAUGUGCUCCAGACUAUGAUACACUUUUAAUAACGUUUACUAGAUUGUCAUUACAAGUGUGUUACAGGUAUCGUCUAGAAAAUACAGAUAAGAUGUGGACGUGCUCUUCCCAUCCUUUUGUCCCACUUCUUAAUGUUAAGUAAUGGUUUCUUUCGUGGUUUUACUGCACAUUUAAAUCAGAGGCGCUUUUUGCUGUAAGUAUCAGAAAACCCAUCUUGGGGCACCUGAGUGGCUCAGUGGGUUAAAGCCUCUGCCUUCGGCUCAGGCCAUGAUCCCAGGGUGCUGGGAUUGAGCCCCACAUUGGGCUCCCUGCUCAGCGGGGAGCCUGCUUCCUCCUCUCCGUCUGCCCCAGCUCAUGAUCUCUUACUGUUUGUCAAAUAAAUAAAUAAAAUCUUAAAAGAAAGAAAGAAAGAAAACCCAUCUUAAACAAACAGGGGCUGAUCUUCUUACAUUAGAGGAUAUCUGAAGGCGGGCCAUUGCUGAUGACAGAUCAGAGACUCAACCCUUCCAGGACCAGCAGUGAAGCUUGUGGCAUUUCCCUGGAGUUUUCCAGAAGGCUGCCAUCCACUUGAGCCAUAACAUCCACUCCCUAGACAGAUGACGAGGAAGGAGGAGAGCCAGUCACAUCUGUCCCUUUCAUCGGGAGGGCAGACCAGUCCCAACAGUGCAUCACACAGCCAAAGUCUGUAAGGAAGGGGACCUGUGUGGGGACUGCUGGGAGAAUGAAAAGCCAGAUUGCUGCUAUUGGCUCAAGACCAAGAAGUGAUUCCUUCCCUUGGUCUGGUCCAGUGCACUCCAGAUUAGAUGGAAUUCUGUUAGCAAGAAAACACGCAGGAAAUGAGUGAUGUGAGUGUCACAGUGUUUGUGAAUGAACACUUGGGAAAUGCAGAGGAGCAAGAGAAAGAGGCUGUUGGUAAUGUUUAUAAUAUAUCAGUGUAAUUUAUAGAACUAAAACUGAAGCAUAGAGCACAUUGUAUUGGUCUUUCACUGCUUUCCUUUUUCCUUAAAAAAAUCAGCCAUAAAUCUAUCGAGUUAGAUAUUUUUUUGUUCUGUGAUUUAUUUCCACAUCUUUGCACCCGAUUCCUCAGCUUAAUUGUUGAUGGCGGCAGUAUAUUCUAGGGCAAGUGCAAGCCAGUUCUCUGUUGAAGAUGUGAAGAUUUCACACGGCCCAUCCCCACUGUAAAUCACACCACAGCGAAGGUCCUUCCAUUAAUCUUCACAUUUCAGAAUUAUGUCCUUAGAGCAAAAUAUUUGAGGUUUUCAAAUAGAAGGUAGGCAAAAUCUUACCAUUUUAUACACAUUUCAAAUGUAUCCCCUGUGAAGAUUGAACCAGUUUUCAUUACCCCUUGCUCGUAGUUAAGCCCGUCGUCAACCACAGGAGAUCUCAUCAUUAAAAAAAUGUGCCAGUACGGUAAUUAAAAAUGGUUCAGGUCAUUGUUUUCAUUUGUAUUUCUUCUAUUACUAGUCAGGUUGAGUCUUUUUUUGAAUGUUUAUUGCCUACUUUUCUGUAAAUUACUCACUUGUAUCUCCUAAAUUUUCUCUUGGUGUUGAUGAUUCACACUUGAGUAGGAAAUGGACAUAAAGUAGAUUAAGGUUGUUCAUUAUCUCCCAGAGAUGAUCACUGCUACUCAUCAGUCAUGGGGGUUGCG